UUAAUUAAUGCAUUGUUUUGAAUGUUACUCCCUAUAUAAACAUAAAUUUCAUAACUCUUUUACAUCAUCAUUAAUAAUGAUGAUGAAAAUAAAAAUUAUUAUUAUUGAAAUGGAUCUUAAAAAAAAACAAGAAAAAAAUGAGAAUAAUUAAUUUAUAAAUAAAAUAUAGAGUAUUUGUUUGAGCCAGCGACUUCUGGAUCCACCGUGGUUGAUUUUCAACCAGUCCAACUUGAAAGAAUCUUGCUUGGGAGGGAGGAAUUAGGCUAGAUCUGGAUCGGAGGGGUUAGAUCCGAAUUUAACGGAUUGCUAGGUCCGGAUCUGUCAACGUGGAGCCAGUGUGUCGGAGAGUUGUGUAUUCUGGGAGGUUUGUAGCGGGUUUGGCAGUUCGCUAGAGUUGAGGCCUCGUCGGAAACCGGAUUUUUUCGGUAGGCGCUUCCAUCACAAAGUCGUGGACCUUGAAUCUACCGGAGUUAGUGCUUGGACUCUCUGCUAUCGAUCUAUCAAGUUGAUGCGGUGAAUUGGAGAAGAGUAAGAAGAUCUGGAGUUCGUGUCGUGUUUUGAUAACUCUGUGGAGAUUAUUCUGAUCUAAUUCAACUGAAGAAGAUAUCAAAGUGGCCAAGUUUGUCUAAUUGAAGUCUUCCGGCGAAAUCAGCAAAAGGCAAAUUUGUGCAAGAAAGAUAAUUAAUAGCGAGGUUGCAUGUAUCAUUUUAAACAAGAGAUCCCGACCACAAAGCGAAGAUCUGAUGAAAGCUCAUCGAAAAAGUAUGAGCAAAGGUGGUGAUGACGUACGGUGAAACCAACUACUAAUGGAGGAGUUACCACGUUUGCUUACACGUGUUUUUCUUUUACAUAACUUAUUCUGUUGUAUGCAAAUUGUGGGCUUUAAGCCUUAAUUGCACUUGUAAACUGUCAUAUGGGCUUGUUUUAAUGAAAGAAGUCGACAAAAAAAAAAUGCGAUCUCUAAGACCGUUAAUGGAAGAGAAGAUGGAAGUGGAAGUGACUACAACAAACAAAGGAGCAAACCUUAUUGCUCAAAGUGUUAGUGGAGAUAUGAGAUGUCAAUCUUAUGUUGCUAUUGGACAACCUAAUUGGCUUCAUAGAAUUUCAAUGAAGAGGAGGGGUUUGUCCUCCGAUUGAUUGGAUAGUCGGUUAAUUUUUUGAGUUCAUGUCAAAUAAUUGUUUGAAGUUAGAUUCAUGUGU